ACCCCAAAAGCUAGCCCCCCCCCACAACCCACAACAAACAACAUUAAUAACCCCGAAGGCACUACGUUAGUCCCUACAUCAAACCAUUUUACCCGCAAAGUAUAGGAGAUAGAAAAGCAUCACCCGGAGCCAUAGAAAAAGUACCGCAAGGGAAAGCUGAAAGAGAGCUGAAACAGCGCAGUAAAGGAACUGGAAGCAGAGCUUGAUCCUCGUACCUUUUGCAUCAUGAUUUAGCUAGUACCCUUCAAGCGAAGAGAAUUUAAGUUUGAACCCCCGAAACUAAGCGAGCUACUCCAAGACAGCCUAUUAUAGGGCAAACCCGUCUCUGUGGCAAAAGAGUGGGAAGGGCUUUGAGUAGAGGUGACAGACCUACCGAGCUUAGUAAUAGCUGGUUUCCUGGGAGCCGAAUAGAAGUUCAGCCUUUUGGUUUCUCAGACCACCCAGGGUCACCCACCCGCCCCCGGCCCACAGAACACCAAAAGAGUUAUUCAGGAGAGGGACAGCUCUCCUGAAAGAAGAUACAACUUUAGUAGAAGGCGAAGGACUAGAACACCUAAGGUGAAGUGCCUAGGUGGGCCUAAAAGCAGCCACCCUUGAAGAUAGCGUUAAAGCUCGAGCACUAAACUCCUUUAAUUCCAGUAAUUUUAUCCUACCCCCCUUCAUCUACCAGGACCUCCUAUGCAGCCAUAGGAGAGACACUGCUAAUAUGAGUAAUAAGAGGGCGAAGACCCUCUCGAGCGCACCCGUGUAUAUCAGAUCGAACCCCCACUGAAAAUUAACGCCCCCAACCCGCAGAGGGUAUUGAGUCAAUCCAGCUAAUGCAAGAAAACCAAUCAAGAAGCAGCGUUAACCCCACACAGGAGUACACCCCGAAAGACAUAAAGAGGGAGAAGGAACUCGGCAAACAAUGGCCUCGCCUGUUUACCAAAAACACCGCCUCUUGCCCCCACAAUAUAAGAGGUCCCGCCUGCCCUGUGACGAAAGUUUAACGGCCGCGGUAUUUUGACCGUGCGAAGGUAGCGUAAUCACUUGUCUUUUAAAUAGAGACCUGUAUGAAUGGCACGACGAGGGCUAAGCUGUCUCCUCUCUCUAGUCAAUGAAAUUGAUCUGCCCGUGCAGAAGCGGGCAUGACUGCAUAAGACGAGAAGACCCUAUGGAGCUUCAAACACCAGAACAGCCCACGUUAAAGACCCCCCUUAAGGGACUAAACCAAGUGGCCCCUGCUCCCAUGUUUUUGGUUGGGGCGACCGCGGAGUAACAAAAAACCCCCACGUGGAAGGGAACAUCCCCCCUUGAAGCCAGAGCCACAGCUCUAAUAAGCAGAAAUUCUGACCAUCAAGAUCCGGCACCGCCGAUCAACGGACCCAGUUACCCUAGGGAUAACAGCGCAAUCCCCUUCUAGAGCCCAUAUCGACAAGGGGGUUUACGACCUCGAUGUUGGAUCAGGACCUCCUAAUGGUGCAGCCGCUAUUAAGGGUUC
rnacentral:rRNA from 1 species